CCUCGAUACGCGCUUCACAAAACCCAUCCUGUAUCACUCGACACACGCUUCGCCACAGGAGGACACAUCACUAGAUAUCACCAUGUCGGUGCCUCUCACAACUGACAGGCAGCGCGGAAAGGAAGACUCUAUUAACGAGGAAAUUGAAAAGCUACUCGACGAGAACAACCAUCUGAUCCAGUCGAUAAAGGACUUACAUAGUAAAGGCAAAACAGCAGAGUGUUUACAGUAUAUGAAGAUGCUGAAAAAAAAUCAAGUGUACCUCGUCUGGUGUGUUUCCUGCCUAGCAGAGCCCGAUCAAGACGUGCAGUCUCUCCUCCCUGCUAUUUUAAAGGGACAACGGAAAUCAGCCAGAUUCCCGGAUCCGGAGCAACAGGAAAAUGAGCCUCCUCACGGUCAAGCUAUCCCCUCUGAGGGAAUGGUCAGUGGUGGCCCUCCAGCCCCACACAUGCAGAGCCAGAUGAAUGGACAGAUGCCUGGUCCCUCCCAAAGUGCCCCGGUACCCCAACAGUACCCCAACGAUCCUCAGGGGCAGGGGCACUGGCAGCAGUAUUGGGUCUAUUGCCCUCCUCAAACUGCCCCCCCCCAGGGCCGGCAGCAGUGACCUUACUGUUAAAACCAAGGGCACAUGAGGAAAUAAAGACCCGGGGAUUUGAACCCCUGACUAGCUCUAUAAGAAGCAAAGAGCCAGUACGGAAAUUACCAGCAAUGAGAGAAGGUCACAGCAACCCCCACAGCUCUGCUCUAAUCUCUGUCUGAGCUUUGACCUCGGGUCUAUCGCUCAGCAGACUUUAAAGAUGGUUGCAGCUCACUGAGAUUCUCUCAGACACGAACAUGCAACCCUCAAAAACACAAGAUACGUUUGCCCCCCGUCUUUUUAGACUGUCAUCCUUGCCUGUAAAAUGUAUUCUGUUGGUCAUGUACAUGGACUUGAUCAGUGUCAAAGUCCGUGACUCUCCCUCUGUUCCAGUAUGUCUCAAAGCAGCAAUGCCUUAAAAAAAAAAAAAAAAAAAAAAAAAAAAAAAGGAACUGCCUUAUGCUUCAGCAUUGCAGAUUGUGAAACGAGCUAACAAAUUCAUUUUCUUGGGGUAACAGAGAUUUAAAUUUACAGUUUCAAUCUACUGUGGUGCAUUGUUUCUCUCCGGUUCAGCUCCGCGUUCAUAAGAAGCAAUAAUGCCAGCAGUAGAGAAACGUGUGGGUGCUUAACAUACGGAAUAAUGCACCCGACAAACUUCCUGCUAGGCCAUGGUACAUGUCUUGAUGUAUGUGAUGAUGUAUAAAUAUAUUUUAUGCUUUUUAGACCAAGCUAACAUUGUAUAAGACAUCAUAAACUAGUACUAAAGCUGUGUUGUUUAUUUCAUCAAAUGUAUGUGUCUGUGUUUUUUAUGAUCUUUAAAAUGUUGAUCCCAUCCAGCACAUUAUGUUUGUUUUUCCUUUAUUUCUUUGUUGUGUUGAAUUGGAUCUGCUAAAUAAAUGACAUGGACACUGUAAAAGAGAAUAAAAAAAGGCCAAACACCUGGUAUAAAGAAAUGUUGAAAACAUAGCAGUUGCUCUAUUGUUUGCUUUUCUUGUUUGUUUUUUGAUAUAAAUGAAAUUUGGAUCAUUAAUACUUUUUCCAAACAACAUCACCUGACAUGAUAUUGUCCAAUGCUCCUCAUAUAUGUGCUCAAACAGGUGAUAUGUAGCAUGGAUUCCCUAAUUUCACAGUACAGACUGGUGCAGUUUUGUAUCACUGGCUUGAUAUCUUGUUUUACGGUGCAUACUUUAUCGAUCCCAUAUGUACAUCGGCAGAAAGAAGAGGAUCCCCACCUCCUCUGAGUAUUGUUUAUAUAUGGCUGUUUUAAUAUUUUCCAUUCUGUCAUUCAUCCAAGUGGUGGUCACGUUUGUGUCAUGGGAAUGUAAAACUACAUUAAAAUAAAUUGGAAGAAUCUUUAA